CUUUUGUGAGGGUCUUGAGUCAGAAGGUUGUUGUGCAAGUCAGUGAUGGAGGCAUCCAAUCCAGAAAGAAACUUCAUCAAAACAUCUAUGGAGAAGACAAACAAGCAGCUGGAUAUAAGAGAUCAUGUCCUCUGGAAUGACAAGAAGAGGACUGGUCCCCCGACUGAGUCUGGUUUCUCCCAAGAUGAAUCAACUGUUUUCCAAACUGAUGAAGUUUGCAACAUCGACGCCACUAUUGAACGAAAUCAACAUUGAACUGACUCGAGCUGAAUGAAGACACUAUUGUCUUCUUUAGAGCUGAACCUGUUUCAUCAUGAAUGAACGUUCACACUUGUGGAACUGAACUGAAUUAACACUAUUAUCUUGCUACAGCUGCUUUACAGCAGAAUUUCUAACUUUUUUAUAUAUUUGAAGAAGUUUACAUCAUUAAUUAUGUUAUUCUCCUGUUUAUUAAUUAAUGUGAAGCUGUUUUGAAAUAAUCUGUAUUGUAUAAAGUUCUAUGUAAAUAACAUUGAGAUAAGAAAUGUGGAAGAAAUGUGCUUUAAUUGUCACAGAAAUAUCAUCAUAAAAAAAAAAACCAACACUUUUAGUAAUACUUUUUAAGGUGCCCUUGUUACAGUGUACUUAUACAAAUAAGUAUUGUACUGAGUAAUAUUAAUUAACAACAUAUACUUGCUAUAUAAUUAGGGUUUGGUUUAGGGUUAGUUGCUUGUAAUUAUGCAUAAUUUACUGUUAUUACUAUAGUAAGUACAUUUAAGAUGUGUAAUAGGGACACUGUAAAAAAAAAAAAAAAAAAAGUAUAACCAAAA